UACGUAGGGUGCAAGCGUUAAUCGGAAUUACUGGGCGUAAAGCGUGCGCAGGCGGUUUUGUAAGUCUGUCGUGAAAUCCCCGGGCUCAACCUGGGAAUGGCGAUGGAGACUGCAAGGCUAGAGUUUGGCAGAGGGGGGGUAGAAUUCCACGUGUAGCAGUGAAAAUGCGUAGAUAUGUGGAGGAACACCGAUGGCGAAGGCAGCCCCCCCUGGGUCAAAAACUGACGCUCAUGCACGAAAGCGUGGGGGAGCAAACAGG
rnacentral:rRNA from 1 species